rnacentral:snRNA from 1 species
UUAUCAGUUAACUGGUCGGUUCA